rnacentral:lncRNA from 1 species
GUCACAGGUACCUUCCUGAUACGUAGAGCCCAUCGAAUAGAAGGUGGUGUGACUUGGGAUUCUAAAAAGGAGACUCGGGGUUAGAAGGGGUGCGUGGUGUCAAGAAUGAACAAGAAACAUGCUGGACUCAGGAAGCCGGCUGGCCGCAGUGAAAUGGAGACUCUGGAGCACAGGCCGCGGGGCUGCAAGGCGCAACCUGAAGGCUUGCUCCGCUCUGGAAAGGCCCUGCUCCUCCUGGACGGUGUCUCUUCCCUUCCCGCCUCCCCUCGGAGGCUGCCUCCCCUCGGACAGGACCAGGAGCCCAUCCACCACCCAGGGAGCAGUGCGGCUUUGUGCUUAGGCCUCCGGGGAAGUGAGCUGUUUCCUUGAUGUCCUACAAAGAGGAUUAUUCACUUGGAAAAACAGAAGCUUGUCAAGCUGCCACAAUCGCCAGGGAAGAUUCCAUCUCUCUCUGAUGGAGAUAAAUGGAACGGGAGACGUGGGGCUGAAGAGCGGGGGCUGGCUGAAGGGAAUGAGGUGAGAAACAUCUUGGGUGGAGAUGAUAUUAGUCACACAUGUUAACCCUGCCUUAGGCUGGGAAUCCAGAAUUGAGAAAUGAACUCCACCAAGAUGGAAGGAUAAGAGGAGAUCCGUUCCAAACUCCCACUGGCCCCGCGGUGGGAAAUCAACACUGUCCCACGUCCUAAUCCCACUACCUACCUUCUGCCCCGCUAGAGUUGUCCACAAUCAAAGCCAUUUCUCCUUUUAACAUGGACAGAGGGUGGUGAUGUCUGCAAUAGCUCUGUGCCCUAAAGCUGCUCAGAAGGGAAUGCAGAGAAACCAGCGUGCUCUCUUGUUUUCACAUGGGACUACAUUCCCAUAGGGCAGCUUAGUUACUUAGGUAAGAUUCCCAGGACACUGCGCGAGGCCAGCCAGGCAUGACAAGAAAGGGCAAUACCCUGCCCCAUGGAAGGACCGUUCAAGGGAGGGAUUGGGCUGUCGAGUGGCUGGUGUGGAUAUCUGCACGUCAUGAUUUAUCCAGGACUGAGGGAGGACAGCAAAGGCCCCGCGGCUACUGGAAACCCCAUCAUGUCGCUGAGCACUGGGCUCCACUUUGCUACUCAUGGAUGGAGACAGCGCUUCCUACACGUGCCGUAGGAGCUUCCUGGGCAGAACAGAACAUGAUCGUGGAAACGAGUCUUCGCCAAGGCAGCGCAGAGGGCCGAGGGGUGGGGCGCACUAGAUGGCAUUGUGGAUUUUCACAGGACUAAGCAAGCUAAUGUAUGUGGAUGUGUUUGAGAAACAAUAAAGCACUUCACAGGUAAUUAUCAUUAUAUUAGGUUAACCUUGAGAUUCCCAAUAUCAUCCUACCAAGACUCACUGAGUUCCCUAAAAGCUAAAUGCCCUUCAUUUCUCAUUUUGGUGGCCUUGUAGCAAGGAGCCCUUCUGACAUAUUAGCAAUCCAGCAAAUAUUGCCAUUCUCAGGUAUCUCUUGCUUCCUCUUCCAAUUUAAAUAAUUGUUUGCAUAGAUCUGCAUAAGUUAUACAUUAGUUGUUACUUUACAUAGGCAUUUGAGUUGAAAAUAAUCAAGCUAUUAUUAACACUCAUUCCUGGUUGUUGUUUUUCUUUCUGUAUACCAAAAUACAAAAUACUCUUUUCUUUGAGGGAAAAGUACAUAGUUCAUAAUAAGAAGUUUCAAAAAAAGAAAAGACAAAGAAAAAAAUUAAUACAGUGCAAUAUAGUCAUGCUUCAUUUCCCAUUCCACAAGCUCUUACGUUAUAAAAACUGCCUCUGCUACCAUUAGUUGAACCCUCAAUCCAAACACUCAUUUCAAUUUCAAAAAUUAGAAUAUCCUUAAUCUUGGCAGGGGAGGGGGAGAUUACAAAAAAACUUUAACAAAAGUUCCUGUUCCUUAUGAAAAUAAAGUAAGUGGCCAGCCGCAGGGGCUCACACCUGUAAUAGCAACACUUUGGGAGGCUGAGGCGGGCAGGCCAUUUGAGACCAGGAGUUUGAGACCAGCCUGGGCAAUGCGGUGAAACCCUGUC